ACUAAUGAUGGCCCCACCCACCUCCAGGAGCCGCAACGCAUCCUGGCUCUCCUGAUAGGACAAACCCUCAGCAGUCAAUGAGAAAUUCAGAUCACCACUUCCGGGUCGUCCGUGCUGCAGCCCCUCCUUAGCAACAGCGUGGGGUUGCUAAGCGGAAGUGCCUUUAAAGAUACCCGCCCCCCAUUUCUUCUGGGACUGUUGAGCGGUGGGUCGGGAACUUUGUGUUCUCCUUUGGAAAUAUCCUUAGACCUUUAAUUUGCAGUAUUAGACCAAGUAAACGCCUCAUUGUCGCAGGUAGUAGACCCAUGUGUCUGGUUCCCUCAGCUAUUCUCCAACACCAGCGCCAAACUACACACACUUUCUCGCCUCUUCUCGAAUCCUAGGCCAACCCGGCGACUCCUCCCAAAGCUCCUCUCUCAGGGCCCUAGUGGGAGUUAUUCCUUGUCUAGGAGGCAUCUCUCUCUGGUGGAUUUCCUGUCGUUUCAACCAGACGUUCGCAGACAUUUCGUUCUGAAACGGCCCCAGAAGUCGAAUAGAGGCACUUCAGAAACUGUGUUAGGAAGAUCGACAUGAAUUAUAACCCAGUCUGGACUAAACAACAAAAAGAGCAAAUUUGGGGAGUGGAGAGAUGGCUCAGUGGCUAGAACCACUGGCUGUUCCUCUAAAGAACCUUGAUUCAAUUCUCAGCACCUACGUGGCAGCUCACAACUGCCUGUAACUUCAGUUCCAGGGGAUCCAUGAUACCAGGGGGAUAUUUUCUGUCUUCCAGAACACACUUACUUUCUCUUUGAUGUUCCUAAGCCACUGCAUCCUGCUUCCUCAGGAACCUGGUUCUCUUUUUCACGAUCUUUAGGAGACAGCCUGAAGAAUU